rnacentral:rRNA from 1 species
GGCAGCAGCCGCGGGAACACCGGCGGCCCGAGUGGUGAUCGUGAUUAUUGGGUCUAAAGGGUCCGUAGCCGGUUUGGUCAGUCCUCCGGGAAAUCUGAUAGCUCAACUAUUAGGCUUUCGGGGGAUACUGCCAGACUUGGAACCGGGAGAGGUAAGAGGUACUACAGGGGUAGGAGUGAAAUCUUGUAAUCCCUGUGGGACCACCUGUGGCGAAGGCGUCUUACCAGAACGGGUUCGACGGUGAGGGACGAAAGCUGGGGCACGAACCGAAUUAGAUACCCGGGUAGUCCCAGCCGUAAACGAUGCUCGCUAGGUGUCAGGCAUGGCGCGACCGUGUCUGGUGCCGCAGGGAAGCCGUGAAGCGAGCCACCUGGGAAGUACGGCCGCAAGGCUGAAACUUAAAGGAAUUGGCGGGGGAGCACAACAACGGGUGGAGCCUGCGGUUUAAUUGGACUCAACGCCGGACAACUCACCGGGGGCGACAGCAAUAUGUAGGCCAAGCUGAAGACUUUGCCUGAAUCGCUGAGAAGAGGUGCAUGG